rnacentral:rRNA from 1 species
CCUACGGGCGGCAGCAGUGGGGAAUAUUGGACAAUGGGCGAAAGCCUGAUCCAGCCAUGCCGCGUGUGUGAAGAAGGCCUUCGGGUUGUAAAGCACUUUCAGUGGGGAAGAAAGCCUUGGGGCUAAUACCCUCGAGGAAGGACAUCACCCACAGAAGAAGCACCGGCUAACUCCGUGCCAGCAGCCGCGGUAAUACGGAGGGUGCGAGCGUUAAUCGGAAUUACUGGGCGUAAAGCGCGCGUAGGCGGUCUGAUAAGCCGGUUGUGAAAGCCCCGGGCUCAACCUGGGAACGGCAUCCGGAACUGUCAGGCUAGAGUGCAGGAGAGGAAGGUAGAAUUCCCGGUGUAGCGGUGAAAUGCGUAGAGAUCGGGAGGAAUACCAGUGGCGAAGGCGGCCUUCUGGACUGAAACUGACGCUGAGGUGCGAAAGCGUGGGUAGCAAACAGGAUUAGAUACCCGUGUAGUC